GCGUGAGUGAUGAAGGCCUUAGGGUUGUAAAGCUCUUUCGCACGUGACGAUGAUGACGGUAACGUGAGAAGAAGCCCCGGCUAACUUCGUGCCAGCAGCCGCGGUAAUACGAAGGGGGCUAGCGUUGUUCGGAAUUACUGGGCGUAAAGGGCGCGUAGGCGGCCUUGUUAGUCAGAAGUGAAAGCCCCGGGCUCAACCUGGGAAUUGCUUUUGAUACUGCAAGGCUAGAGUUUCGGAGAGGAUGGUGGAAUUCCCAGUGUAGAGGUGAAAUUCGU
rnacentral:rRNA from 1 species